AGCAGUAGCCACGGUAAUACAGAGGGUGCAAGCGUUAAUCGGAAUUACUGGGCGUAAAGCGCGCGUAGGUGGUUUGUUAAGUUGGAUGUGAAAUCCCCGGGCUCAACCUGGGAACUGCAUUCAAAACUGACUGACUAGAGUAUGGUAGAGGGUGGUGGAAUUUCCUGUGUAGCGGUGAAAUGCGUAGAUAUAGGAAGGAACACCAGUGGCGAAGGCGACCACCUGGACUAAUACUGACACUGAGGUGCGAAAGCGUGGGGAGCAAACAGGAUUAGAUACCCCGGUAGUCCCUGUCUCUUAUAC
rnacentral:rRNA from 1 species